GAUUUCCCGGCAGCCGAGCCGCGGUUCGGGGCGCGCGCGGGAUUUCCAGCGCGCGAGGCGGCCCGGACUUUCGGGGGAGCCUGGAAUCCCCUCCCGAUCCGCGGAGAGUCCCGGACCGCGCCUUUCCCAAGUUCUGCUGGGGGUGGAGGGGCUGCACCGGGAAGGGGCCCCGUUUGCAGCCUGAUCUCGCCCAGGUGGUGGUGAGGGCCGGAGUGUCUCCUGGCUGCGAAGACCCCAGCCUCUGGGUGAUUUCGCUUCUCCCGGCCUCUCUGUUCCCGUCUGAGUAAUGGGUCUGCAGCGCCGGCCUCGCUGGUUUGCAGAGCAUGACAUAAAAUGCGGCUGACAGUAAGCGCCCAAUACACAUCAGCUGUCACCUGGUGGUCGCGGGAGGCCUCCUCGAGGGCCCCGAAAGUGGUAGGUUGCAAAGCCCGGGGCGCUCUGGAGAAGAAAGCGGGCGCCCCCUCGCCGACCCCGUGAGUUUCAGGGUGGGGUGCGCGUGGGAGGUGCAGGUGGCACGGCCCCGCCUCCGCCGGCUGCCUGGCGUUCCAGCCUUUGCCCGUGCAGAGGCCUCCAGGCCCGGGAGAAAGCCAUUGUUGAGGGGAAUGGGGCAGUCUCCGGCUGCACGCCGCCACCCAGGGCCCACGUGCAAGGAUGACGGCCACUUUUAUUUCUCACUCCGGGGUGGGCGCUGACCUGCACUGAGUGCGUGGUGUGGACCUGGCACCCCCCACCCCUCCCGAUUCAUGGAUGAUUUAAUCCAAGACCUGGGAAGCAGGGGGGAUGCUUAUGUGCAUUAUGCAAAAGGGGAAACUGAGGCUUGGUGAGGCUACAGGCUAGUUCGUGUUGGAGCCACGCGUGUGCGCCAGGCACGGCCGCCUGCAGGACUCCGCCGCCCCGGGAAGGCUGUUCAGGAGCGAGGCUGGCAGGCCCCGCAUGACAACGUCUCCCACGGUCGACUGGGGGCUCCCGGGUGACUCACAUCUGAGUCCCCUCCCCCGCCAGCCUGGGGUCUGGCCUCCGCCCGGCGGCUCGGUUUCCCCGGUUGCCCGGCUCCCCGGCCCGCGGGUCCGGCUGACGCAUCCCGCCUCCUCCGCGCCGCCCACCGCUGGGGCACGAAAUGUCCCGGGGCUGCGAGGCGCGGUGGCGCCAUCUGGUGGCCGCGCCGAGUUUCUGCGCCCUCAGCGCCGGAAGAGAGGGACGGACGGGCGGGGCACUGGGCUGGAUGCGGGGGAUAAGGGGACCGUGGCAGUUGCAACAUUUUAUAUAACUUUAUGCAAUGUUUUACGCAUGCAACAUACAUAUUUAUGUUUUAUAAUUUCAAUUUAAAAAUUAAAUCGGCCCGGCGCGGUGGCUCACGCCUGUAAUCCCAGCACUUUGGGAGUCCGAGGCGGGCAGAUCAACUGAGGUCAGGAGUUCGAGACCAGCCUGACCAACAUGGCCAACAUGAGCUGAAGUAUUGCAGGCUGGGUAAUCCCCGCACAUUAGGAGGCUGAGGCAGGCAGAUCAUGAGUUCAGGAGUUCGAGACCAGCCUGACCAACAUGGUGAAACCCCAUCUCUACUAAAAACACAAAAAUUAGCUGGGCGUGGUGGCACGUGCCUGUAAUCCCAGCUACUCAGGAGGCUGAGGCAGGAGUAUCACUUGAACCCAGGAGGUGGAGGUUGCAGUGAGCUGAGAUCAUGCCACUGCACAUGGCGUGGUGACAGAGAGAGACUCUAUCCCCACAAAAAAAAAAAAAAAAGGCUGGGCACGGUGGCUCACACCUGUAAUCCCAGAACUUUGGGAGGCCGAGGCAGGAGGAUCACCUGAGGCCGGGAGUUCAAGACCAGCCUGACCAACAUGGAGAAACCCCAUCUCUACUAAAAAUACAAAAUCAGUCGGGCAUGGUGGCACAUGCCUGUAAUUCCAGCUACUCUGGGGGCUGAGGCAGGAGAAUUGCUUGAACUUGGGAGGCAGAGGUUGCCGUAAGCCAAGAUUGCAGUGAGCCGAGAUCACGCCACUGCACUCCAGCCUGAGUGACAGAGUGAAACUCUGUGAAGGAAGGAAGGAAGGAAGGAAGGAAGGAAGGAAGGAAGGAAGGAAGGAAGGAGAGAGGGAGGGAAGGAGGGAGGGGAAAGAAAGAAGGAAAGAGAGAAAGAGAAAGAAAAAGAAAGAAAAAAAGAAAGAAAGAAAGAAAGAAAGAAAGAAAGAAAGAAAGAAAGAAAGAAAGAGAAGGAAAGAAAGAAAGAAAGAAAGAAAGAAAGAAAGAAAGAAAGAAAGAAAGAAAGAAAGAAAGACAGAGAAAGAAAGAAAGGGCUGUGUUGUGUGCACCUAGCUACUCUGGAGGCUGUAAUCCCAGCUACUCCAGAGGCUGAGGCAGGAGGAUCACCUGAGCCCAGGAGUUCCUGGCUGCAGUGAGCCGGGAUUGCACAAUUGCAUUCCAGCCUGGGCAACAGAGUGAGACCCUGUCUCAAAUAAAUAAAUAAAAUAAGGGCUGGGCACAGUGGCUCAUGCCUGUAAUCCCAGCACUUUGGGAGGCUGAGGCAGGUGGAUCAUCUGGGGUCAGGAGUUCAAGACCAACCUGGCCAACAUGGUGAAACCCCGUCUCUACAAAAAAUACAAACAUUACCUGGGCAUGGUGGCACAUGCCUAUAAUCCCAGCUACUCGGGAGGCUGAGGCAGGAGAAUCGCUUGAACUUGGGAGGUGGAGGUUGCAGUAAGCCGAGAUUGCGCCACUGCAUUCCAGCCUGGGAGACAGAGCGAGACUCUGUCUCUAAAAUAACUCGAGCAAAGCAGGGCCUCAGAGAAAAUGUGUCCAAGUCCUUCCUCCGUGUGUCCCCUGUGCCAGCCAUAACAACCUCCUCUGCGAGAGGCCCGGCUUUUGUCAGCUGUUUCCUCUGCCUGGGAUGUUGUCUUCCUCUGGUCUUCAGCAGGAAAACCCUACUCCUCUGUCAACACUGACUUGGCCUUGUUUUCUCCCAGACCAACUGCCUGGACCCCCAUGGUCCUCCACCCUCCAGCGUUGUCUUUCUAGACCCCAAGCCCUCCUGUGUCUCCUUUUUCCAGCCCUGGCUCCAGGCAUCUUAGAAUACCUGGAGUAUCUUGGAAUAUCUUCAAGAGACUCUGAGCUCUGUGCCUUUGAGCUCAGAAAAUGAGCCCCAGCCGAGCCGGGUGUGGUGGCUCACGCCUGUAAUCCCAGCACUUUGGGAGGCCGAAGCGGGCGGAUCACCCGAGGUCAGGAGUUCAAGACCAGCCUGGCCAACAUGGUGAAACUCCAUCUCUACUAAAAAUAUGAAACUUAGCCGGGCAUGGUGGCGCAUGCCUGUAGUCCCAGCCACUCAGGAGGCUGAGGCAGGAGAAUCGCUUGAACUCGGGAGGUGGAGGUUGCAGUGAGCCGAGAUCGUGCCAUGGCACUCCAGCCUGGGCAACAAGAGUGAGACUCUGUCUGAAAAAAAAAAAAAAGAAAAUGAGCUCCAGCCUCAGUUUCUUUCUCUGUAAGAUGGGAACAGUCACACGAAGGCUUCAUCAUAGGCAUUGAAGGAGGAAAUUCCCAGAAUCAGAUGAACAAGACGAGCAAGACAUGACUCCUGUCCCCAAGGAGAGGUUUCCGGAUGGAGCUGAGUCAUCAUUUGAACUUGCAGACAUUUGUAAGACAGGCCUGGGGUGGGAGGAGGUGGGGUCGGCACGCCAGGUGGCAGCGGAGGCUACAGCGAAGGCUGAGGCACAUUUGGGAAAUUCUGAGGACAGUGGCAGGGGAGGGGCGGGGGAAACUGUGCACAGCAAGAGGCUGGCAGGUCUGGGACUGUGCCUCGCAGAGGGAGGUAGAAGGAGAGGCUCCGUCUGAGGUCACGUUUGCCUGGUUCAAAUCCCACCUGCAGCCGUCAUCAGCUGUGUGUCCUUGGGUUGGUGGCUUAGCCUCCCUGAAACUCCCUCUUUUCAUGGGAAAGUCAGGUUGUGGAAAGGUUUACCCAAAACAAGGGCCUAGAAUGGGCUUGGCAUAGAGAGUGCUCCGUACACCUCCCCGACUGUAGUGACCUCGAAAGCCACUUGAGGCCGGGCGCGGUGGCUCACACCUAUAAUCCCAACACUUUGGGAGGCCGAGGCGAAUGAAUCACUUGAGGUCAGGAGUUCGAGACCAGCCUGGCCCACAUGGUGAAACCCCCUCUCUCCUAAAAAUGCAAAAAUUAGCUGG